AUUGAACGCUGGCGGCAUGCCUUACACAUGCAAGUCGAACGGUAACAGGUCUUCGGAUGCUGACGAGUGGCGAACGGGUGAGUAAUACAUCGGAACGUGCCUAGUAGUGGGGGAUAACUACUCGAAAGAGUGGCUAAUACCGCAUGAGAUCUACGGAUGAAAGCAGGGGAUCGCAAGACCUUGUGCUACUAGAGCGGCCGAUGGCAGAUUAGGUAGUUGGUGGGAUAAAAGCUUACCAAGCCGACGAUCUGUAGCUGGUCUGAGAGGACGAUCAGACACACGGGGACUGAGGGCCAGCCCGACUCCUCCGGGAGGAAGCAGUGGGGAAUUUUGGACGAGGGGCGCAAGCCUGAUCCAGCAAUGCCGCGUGCAGGAUGAAGGCGUUCGGGUGGUAAACUGCUUUUGUACGGAACGAAAAGCCCCGGGUUAAUACCCUGGGGUCAUGACGGUACCGUAAGAAUAAGCACCGGCGAACUACGUGCCAGCCGCCGCCGUAA
rnacentral:rRNA from 1 species